rnacentral:rRNA from 1 species
AUUGAACGCUGGCGGCAUGCUUUACACAUGCAAGUCGAACGGCAGCGCGGGCUUCGGCCUGGCGGCGAGUGGCGAACGGGUGAGUAAUACAUCGGAACGUGCCCAGUAGUGGGGGAUAGCUCGGCGAAAGCCGGAUUAAUACCGCAUACGACCUGAGGGUGAAAGCGGGAGAUCUUCGGACCUCGCGCUAUUUGAGCGGCCGAUGGCAGAUUAGCUAGUUGGUGGGGUAAAGGCCUACCAAGGCGACGAUCUGUAGCUGGUCUGAGAGGACGACCAGCCACACUGGGACUGAGACACGGCACAGACUCCUACGGGAGGCAGCAGUGGGGAAUUUUGGACAAUGGGCGAAAGCAUGAUCCAGCAAUGCCGCGUGUGUGAUGAAGGCCUUCGGGUUGUAAAGCACUUUUGGCGGGAACGAAAAGGACUGUGCCAAUACCACGGUUCGAUGACGGUACCCGCAGAAUAAGCACCGGCUAACUACGUG